GACGAACGCUGGCGGCGCGCCUAACACAUGCAAGUCGAACGAGAGAGAAGGAGCUUGCUUCUUUGAUCGAGUGGCGAACGGGUGAGUAACGCGUGAGGAACCUGCCUCAAAGAGGGGGACAACAGUUGGAAACGACUGCUAAUACCGCAUAAGCCCACGGGUCGGCAUCGACCAGAGGGAAAAGGAGAAAUCCGCUUUGAGAUGGCCUCGCGUCCGAUUAGCUAGUUGGUGAGGUAACGGCCCACCAAGGCGACGAUCGGUAGCCGGACUGAGAGGUUGAACGGCCACAUUGGGACUGAGACACGGCCCAGACUCCUAUGGGAGGCAGCAGUGGGGAAUAUUGCACAAUGGGGGAAACCCUGAUGCAGCGACGCCGCGUGGAGGAAGAAGGUCUUCGGAUUGUAAACUCCUGUUGUUGAGGAAGAUAA
rnacentral:rRNA from 1 species